rnacentral:rRNA from 1 species
GAACGCUGGCGGCAGGCCUAACACAUGCAAGUCGAGCGGUAGAGAGAAGCUUGCUUCUCUUGAGAGCGGCGGACGGGUGAGUAAUGCCUAGGAAUCUGCCUAGUGGUGGGGAUAACGUAGCGAAAGUUACGCUAAUACCGCAUACGAUCUACGGAUGAAAGCGGGGGAUCGCAAGACCUCGCGCGAUUGGAGCGGCCGAUAUCAGAUUAGGUAGUUGGUGGGGUAAAGGCUCACCAAGCCAACGAUCUGUAGCUGGUCUGAGAGGACGACCAGCCACACUGGGACUGAGACACGGCCCAGACUCCUACGGGAGGCAGCAGUGGGGAAUUUUGGACAAUGGGGGCAACCCUGAUCCAGCCAUUCCGCGUGAGUGAAGAAGGCCUUCGGGUUGUAAAGCUCUUUCGGCAGGAACGAAACGGCGCGCUCUAACAUAGCGCGUUAAUGACGGUACCUGAAGAAGAAGCACCGGCUAACUACGUG